CAACCUUAUCUCCCCUGUCCCUUGCCCCACCCCCUCCAUCGCCCCUCCCCCAACCAAUCUUGCCCACACCGCAGAUGCCUCCUCCGCCCCCCAACGACGGCGACAGGGACGCCGGCGCCCUAACCCGCGUCUCCUUCCACCUCCCCCAGCUCGUCUUCUCGCCGGCCGCUUUAGAGGAGCCUCCUUUCGCGCGUGCAUCAUGGUCGGGCUGCGGCGACCACCAGAGGUCCACCGCGGCAGGAGCUCCCUCCUUCUCCACUACGAGGCACCAGCAGAGGGGGACGACUCCUCCUUCCAUCCCUAGCUGCGACAUCCAACCUCUAACGUAGAUUGAAACCCUAGCCCGAAUCCGGCAGAGACAGUUAAAGGAAGGGGGCGGGCCAUGGAGAAGCUGCAAGGUGUGGGCCUGAAGCCAUGGAUGGUUGUGUUUGGUAUGAGGAUAGCGGACGGCGAGGAGGCACCGAACCAAGCGGCGGGCAAGGAUGAAGUGAAGCUGCACGCACCGUCGUCAUAUCCCUCCUCCGCCUGCUGUUACUAGAAGCAAGCGCAGUACCAUCUCAUUUCAUCACGAGGUAUGACUCAUCCUCGCAUUCUUACUUCGCCUUUGUUUCCUUCAGCUUCUUGAUCCUGAAAUUUUAUGAUAAAUUGGUGAUCGACGAGGACUACUGCGGCCCGAUGGGAGUCGUGCUCUUCAACUACUCGGAGGCAGACUUCACCGUGAAGCCCCGCGACCGUGUCAUAGAGAUUAUCGUCCAGGUGAUUGCGACGCAGGAGGUCCCCGGGGUGGAGGACCUCGACGCCACCGUUCGGAGGUCACAGAGGUGGAGGACGACGCCACGGUCCGGAGUUCCUCAAGGUGGAGGACCUCGACGCUUUGUACAUACAUCUAGAGAAGUGGUCUGGUUAGGUUGGUGGUGAAAUGCUAGGGAAGGUACCAACCUUUUGAUGAUGGUUGUGUGUGUCCUCGUGAUCUCUUCGAAUUGAGAUGUUGAAUGUUGCAUCCAUGAACACUGCAAGUGUUAAGAUGGUUCUGUGAAAUUUAUUUUGCAUUGGACGUGUCUCUGAUCUCCAUUCAUGAAUA